AACCUGCGGAAGGAUCAUUACCGAGAGGGGGGCCUCGCGCUCCCGGGGGCUCCGGCUCCCAACUCUUCACCCGUUGCGUACAUACCACCGUUGCUUCGGCGGGCCCCGGGGUUCGCCCCCCCGCCAGCUUUUGGGCCGGCGAGCGCCCGCCGGAGAACCAUACAAAUCGUACUUUUAUCAGUGAUGUCCGAGCGAAAACACAAAUAAUCAAAACUUUCAACAACGAAUCUCUUGGUUUGAGCAUCGAUGAAGAACGCAGCGAAAUGCGAUAAGUAAUGUGAAUUGCAGAAUUCAGUGAAUCAUCGAAUCUUUGAACGCACAUUGCGCCCCUCGGUAUUCCGGGGGGCAUGCCUGUUCGAGCGUCAUUACACCCCUCAAGCGUAGCUUGGUAUUGGGUCCUCGCCCCCGGGGCGUGCCCGAAAAGCAGUGGCAGUCCGGUGCGACUCGAAGCGUAGUAAACUUCCAUCCCGCUUGCAGAGUUCGCCCCGCGGCCGGCCAGACAACGCCAAUCAAUCCAAUCAUUGACCUCGGAUCAGGUAGGGAUACCCGCUGAACUUAA
rnacentral:rRNA from 1 species